AGUGAACGCUGGCGGUAGGCCUAACACAUGCAAGUCGAACGGCAGCACAGUAAGAGCUUGCUCUUACGGGUGGCGAGUGGCGGACGAGUGAGGAAUACAUCGGAAUCUACUUUUUCGUGGGGGAUAACGUAGGGAAACUUACGCUAAUACCGCAUACGACCUACGGGUGAAAGCAGGGGAUCUUCGGACCUUGCGCGAUUGAAUGAGCCGAUGUCGGAUUAGCUAGUUGGCGGGGUAAAGGCCCACCAAGGCGACGAUCCGUAGCUGGUCUGAGAGGAUGAUCAGCCACACUGGAACUGAGACACGGUCCAGACUCCUACGGGAGGCAGCAGUGGGGAAUAUUGGACAAUGGGCGCAAGCCUGAUCCAGCCAUACCGCGUGGGUGAAGAAGGCCUUCGGGUUGUAAAGCCCUUUUGUAGGGAAAGAAAAGCAGCAGGUUAAUACCCCGCUGUUCUGACGGUACCCAAAGAAUAAGCACCGGCUAACUUCGUG
rnacentral:rRNA from 1 species